GCAGCAGCGGUUUAAACAGAACACAAAGGAAGAAGAGAAGUAAACAGGAAGUGGGAGUUUCUCUCGGUCUUUAACCUUUUAUCGUUCUACUUCUCGCUGUGUUUUGCUUUAUUUCCUCGUUAAUCCACUGGUUUUAACCAGUAUUUGUGGAUCCAGUUAUGUCGAGCUCGGAGGGAAUGACGAACGCCCAGUUAUUACAACAGGUGGCGCUUUUGCGCUGGCUGUCAUCACAGAGCGACGAGGACCGCGGGUUG